UUUUUUUUUGAGGAAGAUUAGCCCUGAGCUAACUGCUGCCAAUCGUCCUCUUUUUGCUGAGGAAGACUGGCCCUGAGCUAACAUCCAUGCCCAUCUCCCUCUACUUUAUAUGUGGGAUGCCUGCAACAGCAUGGCUUGAUAAGCGGUGCCAUGUCCGCACCCGGGAUUCAAACCGGUGAACCCCAGGCUACCAAAGUGGAAGUUGUGCACUUAAGCGCUGUGCCACUGGGCCAGCCCUGACUUUCUUUUUAAGAGCGGCUGAGUGUCCCAGCCUUGCUUUGGGCCUGUACCGUCUCCAAGUCAAUGAGAAAGAAAUCCGACUGGUUUAGGACCCCCAACAUCACACCUGCAUAGGAUCUAGAGUAGAUCUGCUUAACUGAGCCCAGGGGGGAAUGCCUGGAACAGCAGAAGCAGACCUCCUGCAACUUCCAGAUGACAGCAUGAGGACAAAAGCCAGCAGGCUAAGCACAGCAGAGUGGGAAGAGAGCUGAGUCCCUUAUGGCAUCAUUUUGCAGCUGAACUGAUGCCAGCAACAACCUGCCUCUGGACUUG
rnacentral:lncRNA from 1 species